rnacentral:rRNA from 1 species
GAUAAACGCUGGCGGUGUGCUUAACACAUGCAAGUCGAACGACGUUUUUCUUUAGGGAGGCACUUAGUGGUGGACGGGUGAGUAACGCGUGGGUAACCUGCCCUGUACAGGGUGACAACAGCUGGAACCGGCUGCUAAUACCGCAUAUGCCGUUUGCACUGCAUGGUGCAUAGGGAAAAGGCGUCAUCCGGUACAGGAUGGACCCGCGUCUGAUUAGACAGUUGGCAGGGUAACGGACUAGCAAAGCGACGAUCAGUAGCCGAUCUGAGAGGAUGUACGGACACAUUGGGGCGAAGACACGGCCCAGACUCCUACGGGAGGCAGCAGUGGGUAAUAUUGCACUAUGGAGUAAGCGAUGAUGCAGCUACGCCGGGUAAGUGAAGAAGUAUUGCAGUAUGAAAAGCACUAUAAGAAGGAAAUAAAAUGACGGUACCUGACGAAGAAGCACCGGCUAAAUACGUG